GAAUUCCAUGGAGACUCUGAUGGCUAGGGCACCGUUGAGCUGUUGCAACUGUUCUGCUGGAGCCUUAUGUAUGUGGUUGAAACCACCUGUACUACUGGAAUGAAAGCACCUUUACAGAAGAGGCAAUGCAAGUUGUAUUCAUCACAUGUGUAGAAUGAAUUAAGAUUUAUGCCAGUUGCAAAGAAGAAUAUUGGCUCACUAUUUUUCCUCUGGGCAUGUGGAAAUGUAAAUCAGUCCAUGUUACUCACCUCGGAGAAGCAGAAGUACGAUUUACUAUUGUUGCUUGCUUACUUACUCUUAUCAAUUUCUAUGAGAGAGUUGUACUGCGACAUUAGCUCUUUUGACUAGAUGUGAUGACAGACUGUCUUUGGUCCAUUCUCUUUUAUUGCCUUGGAAGAGAAUAAAUGAGGAGUAGUUCUCACCCAUUGCAGCUGAGGCAUCACACCUGUAAUGGGAUUAACAAGAUGAUAAUAUAUCUUUUGCCAAGACCACAUACUAGCAGCUCCCCUCUCCACUGAGGGCUGAUUUCAUCACUCAACAAAAUUCUCCGAAUUCACCAUCCUUCAGUUCAUCCACAUGACCUCAUUCCUCUUGGGCACCGGACAAGAAUUUGGGAUGCACCAAAUGCAGGGGUACAAGCAAUUUUCCAGUCUUGACCCUUUAUCUGUUGACCAAGCUAAGGCAGAAACCAGCUAAAUUCUGGAUUUAAUCUUGAGCAGCAAAAAAGAUCAGCUUUUGAAGUGGAUCUGCUUUUAUUCUUGGCAAAAGUUCAGCGGAGACCAACCAGAGUGGUGACAAAGUUCUUCAACAUCAAGCCAAAUGUAAUACAAGGAAUUACGGAUAGUGCUUAAUCUAAAAUAAAGAAA
ensembl:lncRNA MIR924HG MIR924 host gene